GAUGAACGCUGGCGGCGUGCCUAAUACAUGCAAGUCGAGCGAACAGACGAGGAGCUUGCUCCGCUGACGUUAGCGGCGGACGGGUGAGUAACACGUGGAUAACCUACCUAUCAGACGGGGAUAACUUCGGGAAACCGGAGCUAAUCCCGGAUAAUAUAUUGAACCGCAUGGUUCAAUAGUGAAAUACGGCUUUGCUGUCACUUAUAGAUGGAUCCGCGCCGCAUUAGCUAGUUGGUAAGGUAAAGGCUUACCAAGGCAACGAUGCGUAUCCGACCUGAGAGGGUGAUCGGCCACACUGGAGCGGGGACACGGUCCAGACUCCUACGGGAGGCAGCAGUAGGGAAUCUUCCGCAAUGGGCGGAAGCCUGACGGAGCAACGCCGCGUGAGUGAUGAAGGUCUUCGGAUCGUAAAACUCUGUUAUUAGGGAAGAACAAAUGUGUAAGUAACUAUGCACGUCUUGACGGUACCUAAUCAGAAAGCCACGGCUAACUACGUG
rnacentral:rRNA from 1 species